AUAAAAUUGAAAAUCCUUCUGUAAUCAUAGAAUAUGGAAAGUAUUUCUACCACUCAAGUAAAAGCACAGAAUGUUACGAUUCUGCUUGAAGAAGAGAAGACCUAUGGUGUGAUGGUACAGUCAAUGAAGAAUGGCAAGAUUUUGCAUACAAAAUCAUUCAAGACACGUGUGUGUUCUGAUGGCUGGACAGCUUUCAAACAGAACUGCUAUAAAAUAAGUAAUGAAAGCCGUUCUUGGAAAAUGGCACAACAAAACUGUAGAUUAUCUUCAAGUGGAGCUCAUCUUGUUGAUAUAAGGAGUAAAGAAGAACAUGCCUUUCUGGUUUCUUAUCUGCAGUCAUUCAGUCACAUCAUCAUGUUGUGGACAGAUCUGAACGACAUUAAGUACCGUCUGUUCCGGAAAACUUCACAUUUAAGGCGCAAGAUAUUGGCACAAAUGAAGCAGCCCUUUUCUGGAGUAAUUUGAAUGGUUGGCUUCGUUCAGAUUUUCGGAUCAAUCUUAAAUACUAUUUUGCACAUUCAGACCAAUAUUUUGAAACUUUUUUGCUGAAUGCAACAUCCACAAAAAUUCUGGAUUUGUGCCCAGGUCAUUUUUAUAAUUUCUUAUUGUCAGCAAGGAACUUUGAAGGAGCUCAAAUUACUCUACAUCCUGUCAUCAUGUCAGAAACAAGUUCAAAAGGUCAGAAAAGAAAUGGCAGAAUUUUCCAGUUUGAUCCCAGGAUUACUGUAUAAUUUUACAAUCAAAACAGAGAAAGAAGGAUAUAAGGACAGUGUUCCUGUGAGCAUACAAAUAGAGACAGAACCAAUGAGGAUUUGUGGUCUAACUGUAACAGCAGUAAAUACUUCAUCUGCCACAUUAAUGUGGAAUCCAAGGAAGACCAACUUCACCCACUAUAGAGCAUCAGUAUCAAACAACACUUUCAGAAAGGAAUAUACACUUUUAGGAUCUCAGUCACGUCACACCAUUUCAGAUUUGAUUCCUGGUGGGAUUUAUAAUUUCACACUGCAGAGAGUAAAAGGCAGUGCAGAUGGUGCUAUUGCCUUUACUGAAAUCAUUGCAGGUUUGCUGUUUUCUCUCUUAUUAUGUUUAUUAUUAAUUAACAUGCUGUUAAAUCCACGUGCACGUUAUAAUUAAUUCUGAAGAGUUUUCUGUGAAAACAUGGACUGCUUAACCUUUUAAGAGGAGAAUUGUAGAAAGCCGACCCAACCAAAAUGCUCAAUUUUCAAACUUGGGAUAGCACUGCAAAAAGUUGCUUGAUGCUCCAAU
rnacentral:lncRNA from 1 species